GGAUGGCAAAGCGAUUAUGCAAGAGCCUGCAAAGCUUUAUAGACCAGUUCGACUCUGGUUCC
rnacentral:tRNA from 1 species